ACUAGUAGCCGCCUGGUGGUAGUGUUUCCAGGUUGAAAAGCAGCCUUGACCCAGUAAGGACACCACGUGGCGUUGAGACGUACUAUCAGGAAAUUGUAUUUCAUGUCAUCUUUUGGAGAGGGGAUUCAUCUCUGUGCGUUUUAUUUAUUCUAGGCACAAUAGGGACGCAUCCUUGUGUAUACUGUGUAUCGUCAUAAGUGUUGUGAUCAUUGUUGUAAGACCUUGAGCAAGUCUUGAAUGAUCCUACUAUUGUUAUGGCGCAAGGAACACGAGGAAAUCACCGGCGAGGAAUAAAAAAGCCGUGAAUUCGUGACCCCAGUACAAUCGGGGAAAGGAAGACAUGCAAAUACCAGAACCAUCAAUAGGUCACGUAGUUGUUAAACGGUGUACGUCUACUUUCAGACAUGAAGCUGGAAACGCGAACAAACAGAAGGCAAUCUCCGCGAGCAACGGCGGUGAAAUUGAUGGUAUUUCGAUAACCUGCGUUGAUACUUGACGUCAGACAGACAUGUACCGUUGAAGAGAGAACGAAGCUUUCAAAUAUUUCAACGCGAUCGUUUCCCUCGCCCGUGGUCCAGUUACAACGAGCGUGAAUGCGAUGUUUACUCGUAGAAUACCUUUAUACCGCGUGAAACUUCGGCAUUUGAUCGGAAAUGGAGACAAGCUGUAUCAAUCGAAAUGGAGUCGUCGAAUCGUGCUGUACAGCGGUGGAAGCAAUGCGAAACCAGCGUGCCUUGGGAGUAUGGACCUUGCGAGCGGUCAAAGUCGUGGCCUACUUCACUUCCUGCCUUCGAAACUUUCUCCUCGUGGCGUCGUUCGUGCGUUCACGAAUGCCACAGCUAAGGCUCUUUCGAUUCGAUCUCGGCUACGUGUAUCACCUUCCUCGUCUUUUCUUCUUCUCUUUUCUCAUCUUCUUAUUCUUCUUCCUGUUCUUCCUCGUUUCACACUGGCGCGCUCAUUUUCCUAAACGCACGACAGCUCGGUCGAUCGAGAAGGACGCGUCACUGUGUUGAGCGAGGUGUCGUCGCGCGUAAUUAUUUCAUGUCGCGUUUAUCAUCCUUGUUCGUGGUAAUCUGGAUGAUUGCGUCGCUGGCUUGCGUGUAAGUAAUGGCUGCUAAUAAUCCUUAAUUACAACAGUCCUGUACACCAUGCGUUCCCCUCCAUCAGAUUUAGUAAUAGCGUCACUUGGAUUAUUUACGAGACACUUGGAAAUUGCUUGUCGCCACACUAAUAUUUUUUGGUAGCAUUUGUCUCCUAGAUGCUGU